GGUCACAGCCAUAUCACCCUGCAGCCCGAGAGCAGCUACUCACUAAAGUUUAGCAGGGCUGAGCCUGGUCGGUACCUGGAUGGGAGACCACAUGGGAAAAAUAGGUUGCUGUUGGAA
rfam:Danio rerio chromosome 16, GRCz11 reference primary assembly.